GACGAACGCUGGCGGCGUGCUUAACACAUGCAAGUCGAACGAAGAGCGAUGGAAGCUUGCUUCUAUCAAUCUUAGUGGCGAACGGGUGAGUAACGCGUAAUCAACCUGCCCUUCAGAGGGGGACAACAGUUGGAAACGACUGCUAAUACCGCAUACGAUCUAACCUCGGCAUCGAGGAUAGAUGAAAGGUGGCCUCUAUUUAUAAGCUAUCACUGAAGGAGGGGAUUGCGUCUGAUUAGCUAGUUGGAGGGGUAACGGCCCACCAAGGCGAUGAUCAGUAGCCGGUCUGAGAGGAUGAACGGCCACAUUGGGACUGAGACACGGCCCAGACUCCUACGGGAGGCAGCAGUGGGGAAUCUUCCGCAAUGGACGAAAGUCUGACGGAGCAACGCCGCGUGAGUGAUGACGGCCUUCGGGUUGUAAAGCUCUGUUAAUCGGGACGAAAGGCCUUCUUGCGAAUAGUGAGAAGGAUUGACG
rnacentral:rRNA from 1 species